AUGGAUCCAGCAGAUGUGUUGAAUGUGAGGUUCCAUUAUGGGGGUGAGUUCAUCCGUAUUGGCCCAAGCCUUGAUUAUGUUGGGGGUGAUACUGCAAUGUCAGAGAUAGAGAGGGAUAAGCUAUCACUGCCUGAGCUGAAAGGAUUUCUAGGAGAUCAUUUAGCUAUGAAAGAGAGCAUGAAGUUGUAUUUCCUUAUGCCUGGGAGAGAGUUGCUAAAUGGGGUAUUGUUUUUAUAUACUAAUGAGCGUUGCAUGAGGAUGUCAGAGCAUAUUACAGAUGGAGGUGUUGCUGACAUAUUUGUGGAGUACAAUGGAGAGCAAGAUGAACCACAGGAAGAGGAUACAGAUGAACUGGAUGACCUGCUUAACAAUGGCAGUGAGCUUGAACCAGAUGCAGUUAUCACAGCAGAGGAA
rnacentral:rRNA from 1 species